GGAGAAGACCUCCAAUCUGUUCUUGAGAUGGGUUCACAUAUUAGGAAGGAAUGAAAAUUAUCCAGCAUGGGAAGUGCUCAGUGACAUACCAGAAGGACGGGUACCUUGAACUUGGAAGGAAACCUUUAUUUCACUACUACUACAAUCCUCAGAAAUGCUGCUCUUGUGAAGAGCCAAAGCUGCCAGGUGAGUUGAAUGAUUUUCUGGUCUCGCAAACAAGAGCUUUCGGUGAGGCAAAGUAUAUAGUUUUCACAUAAAUUAGCUUUCCUCAAUGUAAUGGGUAUAUAUUAGGAGAAUUAGAUUCUGCAAUCCUAGUAUGUUUGUAGAAUCUUGUCAAUGAAGUACAGAGCUGCACUAUACCAUGCUAAGGAGAUACUUAAUCAACAUACUCCAGGGUCAUUUUAUCAAUCCUACUGAGUUUUCUUUCUAUCUAUAGGAUUUCUCCAUGCAGUAGGGAUGAGGGCAUCUGCUGUUCCCAUGCCAAAGAAAGAGGCCCCGACCCAAAUGUGUUACAAUAUGUUAGACCUAGUAGAUAUAUGAUGAAUUUUUAAAAUGAUGGAACCUGGUCAUCUCACUGCUAUUUACAAGAUAGACAUUAUA
rnacentral:lncRNA from 1 species